rnacentral:rRNA from 1 species
GACGAACGCUGUCGGCGUGCUUAACACAUGCAAGUCGAACGGAAAGGCCCUGCUUUUGUGGGGUGCUCGAGUGGCGAACGGGUGAGUAACACGUGAGUAACCUGCCCUUGACUUUGGGAUAACUUCAGGAAACUGGGGCUAAUACCGGAUAGGAGCUCCUGCUGCAUGGUGGGGGUUGGAAAGUUUCGGCGGUUGGGGAUGGACUCGCGGCUUAUCAGCUUGUUGGUGGGGUAGUGGCUUACCAAGGCUUUGACGGGUAGCCGGCCUGAGAGGGUGACCGGCCACAUUGGGACUGAGAUACGGCCCAGACUCCUACGGGAGGCAGCAGUGGGGAAUAUUGCACAAUGGGCGGAAGCCUGAUGCAGCAACGCCGCGUGCGGGAUGACGGCCUUCGGGUUGUAAACCGCUUUCGCCUGUGACGAAGCGUGAGUGACGGUAAUGGGUAAAGAAGCACCGGCUAACUACGUGCCAGCAGCCGCGGUGAUACGUAGGGUGCGAGCGUUGUCCGGAUUUAUUGGGCGUAAAGGGCUCGUAGGUGGUUGAUCGCGUCGGAAGUGUAAUCUUGGGGCUUAACCCUGAGCGUGCUUUCGAUACGGGUUGACUUGAGGAAGGUAGGGGAGAAUGGAAUUCCUGGUGGAGCGGUGGAAUGCGCAGAUAUCAGGAGGAACACCAGUGGCGAAGGCGGUUCUCUGGGCCUUUCCUGACGCUGAGGAGCGAAAGCGUGGGGAGCGAACAGGCUUAGAUACCCUGGUAGUCCACGCUGUAAACGGUGGGUACUAGGUGUGGGGUCCAUUCCACGGGUUCCGUGCCGUAGCUAACGCUUUAAGUACCCCGCCUGGGGAGUACGGCCGCAAGGCUAAAACUCAAAGGAAUUGACGGGACCCCGCACAAGCGGCGGAGCAUGCGGAUUAAUUCGAUGCAACGCGUAGAACCUUACCUGGGUUUGACAUGGAUCGGGAGUGCUCAGAGAUGGGUGUGCCUCUUUUGGGGUCGGUUCACAGGUGGUGCAUGCCUGUCGUCAGCUCGUGUCGUGAGAUGUUGGGUUAAGUCCCGCAACGAGCGCAACCCUUGUUCACUGUUGCCAGCACGUUAUGGUGGGAACUCAGUGGAGACCGCCGGGGUCAACUCGGAGGAAGGUGGGGAUGACGUCAAGUCCUCAUGCCCCUUAUGUCCAGGGCUUCACGCAUGCUACAAUGGCUGGUACAGAGAGUGGCGAGCCUGUGAGGGUGAGCGAAUCUCGGAAAGCCGGUCUCAGUUCGGAUUGGGGUCUGCAACUCGACCUCAUGAAGUCGGAGUCGCUAGUAAUCGCAGAUCAGCAACGCUGCGGUGAAUACGUUCCCGGG